rnacentral:rRNA from 1 species
UACGUAGGUGGCAAGCGUUGUCCGGAAUUAUUGGGCGUAAAGCGCGCGCAGGCGGUCCUUUAAGUCUGAUGUGAAAGCCCACGGCUCAACCGUGGAGGGUCAUUGGAAACUGGGGGACUUGAGUGUCGGAGAGGGUGGCGGAAUUCCCGGUGUAGAGGUGAAAUUCGUAGAUAUCGGGAGGAACACCAGAGGCGAAGGCGGCCACCUGGACGAGCACUGACGCUGAGAAGCGAAAGCGUGGGGAGCAAACAGG